CCUACGGGAGGCAGCAGUGGGGAAUAUUGGGCAAUGGAGGAAACUCUGACCCAGCAACGCCGCGUGAAUGAUGAAGGUCUUCUGAUUGUAAAGUUCUUUUCUCAGGUAAGAAGAACGUGACGGUACCUUAGGAAUAAGCCUCGGCUAACUACGUGCCAGCAGCCGCGGUAAUACGUAGGAGGCGAGCGUUAUCCGGAAUGACUGGGCGGAAAGGGGGCGUAGGUGGUUUGGCAAGUUAGUAGCGUAACUCCAAGGCUCAACCUUGGAACUACUACUAAAACUGUUGGACUUGAGUGCAGGAGGGGCAACCGGAAUUCCUAGUGUAGCGGUGGAAUGCGUAGAUAUUAGGAGGAACACCAGUGGCGAAGGCGGGUUGCUAGACUGUAACUGACACUGAGGCACGAAAGCGUGGGGAGCAAACAGGAUUAGAUACCCGGGUAGUC
rnacentral:rRNA from 1 species